GUGAGUCAUCGAAUCUUUGAACGCACAUGGCACUCGCUACCUCGGUGGCGAGUAUACCUGUUUGAGAAUCGGCUCCAAUCUACCAUCCCCCGGAUGGUGACUUGACCGCUCUUGCAAUUCCGAUUGCAAGUCCCGUCUAAAUCGAGCGUGUAGGGCUGGCUGGACUGUGCGUCCGCGCCGUGUGGUACUGGACUCUGCGUCCUUGCGAUCACGGAUGCAACGUGGACGCGCACGAAGGGAGGCAUCAUUCAAACCUGCAUGGUUGCCAUCUUGAUGAAGAUGGCCGUACGGACUCGGGCCGUGACUUUCGAUCUCAAAUCAGGCAAGGCUACCCGCUGAACUUAAGCAUAUCAAUAAGCGGAGG
rnacentral:rRNA from 1 species